CUGGCGGCGUGCCUAACACAUGCAAGUCGAGCGGAGAUAUAGAGAGAUUCUUCGGAUACUUUCUUUAUCUUAGCGGCGGAUGGGUGAGUAACACGUGGGUAACCUGCCCUGCACAGGGGGAUAACAGCUGGAAACGGCUGUUAAUACCGCAUAUGCACACGCUGCCGCAUGGCAGAGGGUGGAAAGAUUUAUCGGUGCAGGAUGGGCCCGCGUCGGAUUAACUAGUUGGCAGGGUAACGGCCUACCAAGGUGAUGAUCCGUAGCCGACCUGAGAGGGUGACCGGCCACAUUGGGACUGAGACACGGCCCAAACUCCUACGGGAGGCAGCAGUGGGGGAUAUUGCACAAUGGGCGAAAGCCUGAUGCAGCGACGCCGCGUGAAGGAAGAAGUAUUUCGGUAUGUAAACUUCUAUCAGCGGGGAAGAAGAUGACGGUACCCGACUAAGAAGCCCCGGCUAACUACGUGCCAGCAGCCGCGGUAAUACGUAGGUGGCAAGCGUUAUCCGGAAUUAUUGGGUGUAAAGGGCGUGUAGCCGGGUCUUUAAGUCAGAUGUGAAAUCCACGGGCUCAACCCGUGAACUGCAUUUGAAACUGAAGAUCUUGAGUGCCGGAGAGGUCAUCGGAAUUCCUAGUGUAGCGGUGAAAUGCGUAGAUAUUAGGAAGAACACCAGUGGCGAAGGCGGAUGACUGGACGGUAACUGACGGUGAGGCGCGAAAGCGUGGGGAGCAAACAGGAUUAGAUACCCUGGUAGUCCACGCUGUAAACGAUCAAUACUAGGUGUGCGGGGACUGACCCCCUGCGUGCCGCAGCUAACGCAAUAAGUAUUGCACCUGGGGAGUACGAUCGCAAGGUUGAAACUCAAAGGAAUUGACGGGGGCCCGCACAAGCGGUGGAUUAUGUGGUUUAAUUCGAAGCAACGCGAAGAACCUUACCAGGGCUUGACAUCCUACUAACGAAGUAGAGAUACAUUAGGUGCCCUUCGGGGAAAGUUGAGACAGGUGGUGCAUGGUUGUCGUCAGCUCGUGUCGUGAGAUGUUGGGUUAAGUCCCGCAACGAGCGCAACCCCUAUCUUUAGUAGCCAGCAGUUGGCUGGGCACUCUAGAGAGACUGCCAGGGAUAACCUGGAGGAAGGUGGGGAUGACGUCAAAUCAUCAUGCCCCUUAUGACCAGGGCUACACACGUGCUACAAUGGCGUAAACAAAGGGAAGCGAAACCGUGAGGUCUAGCAAAUCUCAAAAAUAACGUCUCAGUUCGGAUUGUAGUCUGCAACUCGACUACAUGAAGCUGGAAUCGCUAGUAAUCGCGAAUCAGAAUGUCGCGGUGAAUACGUUCCCGGGUCUU
rnacentral:rRNA from 1 species